AUUGAACGCUGGCGGCAGGCCUAACACAUGCAAGUCGAACGAGUGGCGGACGGGUGAGUAAUGUCUGGGAAACUGCCUGAUGGAGGGGGAUAACUACUGGAAACGGUAGCUAAUACCGCAUACCAUCAGAUGUGCCCAGAUGGGAUGAGCUAGUUGGUGGGGUAACGGCUCACCAAGGCGACGAUCCCUAGCUGGUCUGAGAGGGUGACCGGCAACACUGGAACUGAGACACGGUCCAGACUCCUACGGGAGGCAGCAGUGGGGAAUAUUGCGCAAUGGGCGAAAGCCUGAUGGAGCCACGCCGCGUGAGUGAAGAAGGCCUUCGGAUUGUAAAGUACUGUCAGUGGGGAAGCGUUACCCAAUGAGAAAGCACCGGCUAACUCCGUGCCAGCAGCCGCGGUAAUUC
rnacentral:rRNA from 1 species